rnacentral:hammerhead_ribozyme from 1 species
AUACUGUUGAAGAGUCCGAAACAAAGACGAAACGCUUGUCCAGUAU